UUACGUACUUCAGUAGGAUUUGUUGACAUGGUAUGUCCGGUGUUAUGUGCUCAUAGUAAUGUCUUACGUACUUCAGCAGGAUUUGUUGACAUGGUAUGUCCGGUGUUAUGUGCUCAUAGUAAUGUCUUACGUACUUCAGGAGGAUUUGUUGACAUGGUAUGUCCGGUGUUAUGUGCUCAUAGUAAUGUCUUACGUACUUCAGUAGGAUUUGUUGACAUGGUAUGUCCGGUGUUAUGUGCUCAUAGUAAUGUCUUACGUACUUCAGUAGGAUUUGUUGACAUGGUAUGUCCGGUGUUAUGUGCUCAUAGUAAUGUCUUACGUAUUUCAGUAGGAUUUGUUGACAUGGUAUGUCCGGUGUUAUGUGCUCAUAGUAAUGUCUUACGUACUUCAGUAGGACUUGUUGACAUGGUAUGUCCGGUGUUAUGUGCUCAUAGUAAUGUCUUACGUACUUCAGUAGGACUUGUUGACAUGGUAUGUCCGGUGUUAUGUGCUCAUAGUAAUGUCUUACGUACUUCAGUAGGACUUGUUGACAUGGUAUGUCCGGUGUUAGGUGCUCAUAGUGAUGUCUUACGUACUUCAGUAGGAUUUGUUGACAUGGUAUGUCCGGUGUUAUGUGCUCAUAGUGAUGUCUUACGUACUUCAGUAGGAUUUGUUGACAUGGUAUGUCCGGUGUUAUGUGCUCAUAGUAAUGUCUUACGUACUUCAGUAGGAUUUGUUGACAUGGUAUGUCCGGUGUUAUGUGCUCAUAGUAAUGUCUUACGUACUUCAGUAGGACUUGUUGACAUGGUAUGUCCGGUGUUAUGUGCUCAUAGUGAUGUCUUACGUACUUCAGUAGGACUUGUUGACAUGGUAUGUCCGGUGUUAUGUGCUCAUAGUGAUGUCUUACGUACUUCAGUAGGAUUUGUUGACAUGGUAUGUCCGGUGUUAUGUGCUCAUAGUGAUGUCUUACGUACUUCAGUAGGAUUUGUUGACAUGGUAUGUCCGGUGUUAUGUGCUCAUAGUAAUGUCUUACGUACUUCAGUAGGAUUUGUUGACAUGGUAUGUCCGGUGUUAUGUGCUCAUAGUAAUGUCUUACGUACUUCAGUAGGAUUUGUUGACAUGGUAUGUCCGGUGUUAUGUGCUCAUAGUAAUGUCUUACGUACUUCAGUAGGUUUUGUUGACAUGGUAUGUCCUGUGUUAUGUGCUCAUAGUAAUGUCUUACGUACUUCAGUAGGACUUGUUGACAUGGUAUGUCCGGUGUUAUGUGCUCAUAGUAAUGUCUUACGUACUUCAGUAGGAUUUGUUGACAUGGUAUGUCCGGUGUUAUGUGCUCAUAGUAAUGUCUUACGUACUUCAGUAGGAUUUGUUGACAUGGUAUGUCCGGUGUUAUGUGCUCAUAGUAAUGUCUUACGUACUUCAGUAGGAUUUGUUGACAUGGUAUGUCCGGUGUUAUGUGCUCAUAGUAAUGUCUUACGUACUUCAGUAGGAUUUGUUGACAUGGUAUGUCCGGUGUUAUGUGCUCAUAGUAAUGUCUUACGUACUUCAGUAGGAUUUGUUGACAUGGUAUGUCCGGUGUUAUGUGCUCAUAGUAAUGUCUUACGUACUUCAGUAGGAUUUGUUGACAUGGUAUGUCCGGUGUUAUGUGCUCAUAGUAAUGUCUUACGUACUUCAGUAGGAUUUGUUGACAUGGUAUGUCCGGUGUUAUGUGCUCAUAGUAAUGUCUUACGUACUUCAGUAGGAUUUGUUGACAUGGUAUGUCCGGUGUUAUGUGCUCAUAGUAAUGUCUUACGUACUUCAGUAGGAUUUGUUGACAUGGUAUGUCCGGUGUUAUGUGCUCAUAGUGAUGUCUUACGUACUUCAGUAGGAUUUGUUGACAUGGUAUGUCCGGUGUUAUGUGCUCAUAGUAAUGUCUUACGUACUUCAGUAGGAUUUGUUGACAUGGUAUGUCCGGUGUUAUGUGCUCAUAGUGAUGUCUUACGUACUUCAGUAGGAUUUGUUGACAUGGUAUGUCCGGUGUUAUGUGCUCAUAGUAAUGUCUUACGUACUUCAGUAGGAUUUGUUGACAUGGUAUGUCCGGUGUUAUGUGCUCAUAGUGAUGUCUUACGUACUUCAGCAGGAUUUGUUGACAUGGUAUGUCCGGUGUUAUGUGCUCAUAGUAAUGUCUUACGUACUUCAGUAGGAUUUGUUGACAUGGUAUGUCCGGUGUUAUGUGCUCAUAGUAAUGUCUUACGUACUUCAGUAGGAUUUGUUGACAUGGUAUGUCCGGUGUUAUGUGCUCAUAGUAAUGUCUUACGUACUUCAGUAGGAUUUGUUGACAUGGUAUGUCCGGUGUUAUGUGCUCAUAGUAAUGUCUUACGUACUUCAGUAGGAUUUGUUGACAUGGUAUGUCCGGUGUUAUGUGCUCAUAGUAAUGUCUUACGUACUUCAGUAGGAUUUGUUGACAUGGUAUGUCCGGUGUUAUGUGCUCAUAGUAAUGUCUUACGUACUUCAGUAGGACUUGUUGACAUGGUAUGUCCGGUGUUAAGUGCUCAUAGUAAUGUCUUCGCGUUGGGGCAAAACAUCACAACUCGUUGUUGUUGUGUAUUUUGCAUACUUCCCUCUACACAGCUGUAAGUUUUUUAAAGACGUGUGCUCUUUACUCAAGAAAAUAUGUUAUAAUAUGUUUUAGUCCUUAAGAGGGACUAUUUUACUGGCGGGAACCAUAAUAAAAAUAAAUGUUUUUAUGUUUAUUUAUUGCUUUGACCGGAGGUUUAUCUGUAGGGGCGGCCUAAUUCAUCAUGUUAAAACAGACAUCACUACAUAUUGAAAAACAAGGUCAAGUUUAAUUACUGGAUGGAUGGAUGGAUAUUUAAAAAACAUAAAAAUCUGACACAAUCUGAACAACUGAUUCUGAUUUGGUGUAGUAGAACCUAGAAUCUUCUGCAAUCACUCUGCAACCAGCAAAUGCUGACAUGAUGAGUUUUCUCCCUUCACAUGGCUGAAUUUUCAUUAGAAGCCUGGCAUGGUGGACGUUCAUUGGAGAACUCAUACAAAGUGAAAGUCAGUUCUUAGAAUUUGUUAUGUCACUAUUUUUAACCUCGAAGGAUGAAGCGUUAAAUCUACACACAAUUCUAUUUAAAGUGGUCCAUGUGACUUCAUGUUUUCACUGACAACUGAGUACUGAGAGGUGGCAUCUCACAUGGACCAUACAAUACCUGGACCGUGUUCUGUUGAGAUGCAACUGAGAGGUAUCUUACAUGGACCAUACAAUACCUGGACCGUGUUCUGUUGAGCUGCAACUGAGAGGCAUCUUACAUGGACCAUACAAUACCUGGACCGUGUUCUGUUGAGCUGCAACUGAGAGGUAUCUUACAUGGACCAUACAAUACCUGGACCAUGUUCUGUUGAGCUGCAACUGAGAGGUGGCAUCUUACAUGGACCAUACAAUACCUGGACCGUGUUCUGUUGAGCUGCAACUGAGAGGUAUCUUACAUGGACCAUACAAUACCUGGACCGUGUUCUGUUGAGCUGCAACUGAGAGGUGGCAUCUUACAUGGACCAUACAAUACCUGGACCGUGUUCUGUUGAGCUGCAACUGAGAGGUAUCUUACAUGGACCAUACAAUACCUGGACCGUGUUCUGUUGAGCUGCAACUGAGAGGUAUCUUACAUGGACCAUACAAUACCUGGACCGUGUUCUGUUGAGCUGCAACUGAGAGGUAUCUUACAUGGACCAUACAAUACCUGGACCGUGUUCUGUUGAGCUGCAACUGAGAGGUAUCUUACAUGGACCAUACAAUACCUGGACCGUGUUCUGUUGAGCUGCAACUGAGAGGCAUCUUACAUGGACCAUACAAUACCUGGACCGUGUUCUGUUGAGCUGCAACUGAGAGGUAUCUUACAUGGACCAUACAAUACCUGGACCGUGUUCUGUUGAGCUGCAACUGAGAGGUAUCUUACCUGGACCAUACAAUACCUGGACCGUGUUCUGUUGAGCUGCAAUUGAGAGGUAUCUUACAUGGACCAUACAAUACCUGGACCGUGUUCUGUUGAGCUGCAACUGAGAGGUGGCAUCUUACAUGGACCAUACAAUACCUGGACCGUGUUCUGUUGAGCUGCAACUGAGAGGUAUCUUACAUGGACCAUACAAUACCUUGACCGUGUUCUGUUGAGCUGCAACUGAGAGGUGGCAUCUUACAUGGACCAUACAAUACCUGGACCGUGUUCUGUUGAGCUGCAACUGAGAGGUAUCUUACCUGGACCAUACAAUACCUGGACCGUGUUCUGUUGAGCUGCAAUUGAGAGGUAUCUUACAUGGACCAUACAAUACCUGGACCGUGUUCUGUUGAGCUGCAACUGAGAGGUGGCAUCUUACAUGGACCAUACAAUACCUGGACCGUGUUCUGUUGAGCUGCAACUGAGAGGUAUCUUACAUGGACCAUACAAUACCUGGACCGUGUUCUGUUGAGCUGCAACUGAGAGGUGGCAUCUUACAUGGACCAUACAAUACCUGGACCGUGUUCUGUUGAGCUGCAACUAAGAGGUAUCUUACAUGGACCAUACAAUACCUGGACCGUGUUCUGUUGAGCUGCAACUGAGAGGUAUCUUACAUGGACCAUACAAUACCUGGACCAUGUUCUGUUGAGCUGCAACUGAGAGGUAUCUUACAUGGACCAUACAAUACCUGGACCGUGUUCUGUUGGGCUGCAACUGAGAGGUGGUAUCUAACAUGGACCAUACAAUACCUGGACCGUGUUCUGUUGGGCUGCAACUGAGAGGUGGUAUCUAACAUGGACCAUACAAUACCUGGACCGUGUUCUAUUUGGCUGCAACUGAGAGGUAUCUUACAUGGACCAUACAAUACCUGGACCGUGUUCUGUUGAGCUGCUACUGAGAAGUUCAGACAGGGAUGUUAAGGCUGAGGUUCUGAUUUGGUUAAGAUGUUGUUUAAAUUUUAACAAUACAUUUGAAAUUGUGACUAUUCAGAUUGAUUUCAUUAAUAAAGGCAGGGUGGAAAAGGUUUCAUGAGAACUGUUUAAAGUGCAUCACUUUGUCUUGCUACAAAAGGCCUCACUUUAUUUAAAUGUGAUUAUGUAUUGAUCCAGGUCAUGUGGAAUGACUCAUGGCACAGCCAUGUCUGAUGGUGCACAAAGAGCAAAUUUGCUAAACAAAACUAUGCAUCAUCACUAAGAAACCACUGGAGAUGAGUGCAGAUGUACUGAAGCACUUCCGGAGGUUUCAAAGGAACAAUAGCGUCAAAUGAUACUGACAAGAUUCCCACUGAGGUGAUCUGCUUCACAUGUGUUCUGGUGUGAAGAGGGAGAGACCACCACAAGCUUGUUUGGCUGGAGAAACUGAAGACUGAGGAAACCCUUCUGGAAGAACUCAAGAGCCUGUCUGUCAGAUGACCUUCUGUCUAGGUCAAGGUUAGGAACAUUGUGGCAUUGCUCAGAGAACUAAGAUGAUAAACAAGAGGACACUUUCUGGAAGGCCAAUUGCUUGUUGCAGUCUGUUGCCUUUAUCUUAUAUCUAUGUAUGUUGCAGUGUUUGUUUACUCAGAGAUUGUGUAGGAACUGCUCUGAUAUUCAGCUGAAAGACCAAGAAAUAAAUUAAGUUGUCUCUUUAUAUCUCUUUGUAUCUCACAUAGGAGGGUUUUUUUGUUUGAACUAUAAGAAUUGAGAUAGAUACAAUUCAGUUGCUAGCAUCAGGUAUUUAUUGGAUCAUCACAAGCAUUCUCCAGAUGACUGUCUCAGCAGUAUGGGUCUGAGUGGUCUAAAAAAAAUUUUCUAACACUUUCUCUCACGAGAACAAACCACAUUUUUCACCAGCUGAAAGCUAAGAAAUGCUCAAAUAAGGCUAUGAAACCAGAACAUGGUAAUGAUCAAAUAAAGACACAGACAGUUUUGAUUGGUCUUUCCAAUGAUUUCAUCUAAUCACUGACAAUUUCAUCAUAUCUAAGAAGUUAAUCACUUACACUGUAACAGAUCAGUAUGGUAAUGGUACCCUUGAUGUUUAGAUUACCAGCUGCGUGAUUGAGUAUGUAUAUUAACAAGUUUUACAUGGGAUACAAAUUGUGUUAGCCAGAUCAGAAGUUCAGUUCAAGUCCAGACAAGUGUCAUGAGCCACAACAGACAUAUUGACCAUUUCAUAAACCAGUUGGCAUUUGGCUGUUGUUUGGUGGCUAUCAAGAUUCCUGGAGUCCAUUGUGUGAAAUAUAGAGUCUCGAUUGGUCGGAUGUUGUAGAGCUGCUUGCUUUUGAGUAAUUUGAGGUUUUCUGUUGCAGCAUCACAGAGGUAUGCCAAGAAAUGAAUAUGAGACCAUCAUAUUUUAUGAAAAAAUCAGAAGUAGGAAUAAGAACUCAUUUUUUUAUGGAGUUAUUGUUUGCUGUUUAUUGCCAGACCUAUUUUGCCCUUGUAAACAAAAAAAUAAAACCAAAAACUCUUGUUUGAGUGAAAAUGUGUUCAACAACUUUUGCUUUGUGUUUUUGUUAAUCUCUUAUUUGAAGACUACAUGUAGGAGUGUAAGCUGACCAGAUAUUAUUGUUUGUUUUCUCCUGCCUCUCGGUUUUUUGAUCCAGAAAAUCGGUGAAGCAAGGCAGUCAGUUUGUUUAGCCCAAAUCAUUAUUUACAUUCGUAUUCUCUUGCAGAUGAAAAGGGGAUGAAAACAAUACAGCUGGCAGGUUAUAUUGCCAAGUUUCUCAGAGAAUAGUUUGUUAGUGUGAAGGAUUUAUCUGAGCUGAUUAUGGGAGGAAUAGCAGACAGACUGUAUCUGCAGACAUUUCUGUUUUGUAUUUAUUUGUCAUGCUCUGUACCAUAAUGUACAUAAACCAGUUGAGAUAAA